AUUCCAGCUCCAAUAGCGUAUAUUAAAGUUGUUGUGGUUAAAAAGCUCGUAGUUGGAUCUCGGCGGUCUGAGGGCGGUUCGCUUCAGAGCGCUACUGCCCUAUAGACCGUAGUUUUGCCAGAGGUCUCAGGGUGCUCUUAACCGAGUGUCUUGCGAUGCUGGCAGGUUUACUUUGAAAAAAUUAGAGUGCUCAAAGCAGGCUUUUACGCCUGAAUAUUCGUGCAUGGAAUAAUAGAAUAGGACUUUGGUUCUAUUUUGUUGGUUUCUAGGACCGAAGUAAUGAUUAAUAGGGACAGUUGGGGGCAUUCAUAUCCCAUUGUCAGAGGUGAAAUUCUUGGAUUAACGGAAGAUGAACUUCUGCGAAAGCAUCUGCCAAGGAUGUUUUCAUUA
rnacentral:rRNA from 1 species